rnacentral:rRNA from 1 species
ACGAACGCUGGCGGCGUGCCUAAUACAUGCAAGUAGCACGCUGAAGGCGGAGCUUGCUUCUCUGGAUGAGUUGCGAACGGGUGAGUAACGCGUAGGUAACCUGCCUGGUAGCGGGGGAUAACUAUUGGAAACGAUAGCUAAUACCGCAUAAUAGCAGUUGUUGCAUGACAACUGUUUGAAAGGUGCAAUUGCACCACUACCAGAUGGACCUGCGUUGUAUUAGCUAGUUGGUGGGGUAACGGCUCACCAAGGCGACGAUACAUAGCCGACCUGAGAGGGUGAUCGGCCACACUGGGACUGAGACACGGCCCAGACUCCUACGGGAGGCAGCAGUAGGGAAUCUUCGGCAAUGGACGGAAGUCUGACCGAGCAACGCCGCGUGAGUGAAGAAGGUUUUCGGAUCGUAAAGCUCUGUUGUAAGAGAAGAACGAGUGUGAGAGUGGAAAGUUCACACUGUGACGGUAUCUUACCAGAAAGGGACGGCUAACUACGUG